rnacentral:lncRNA from 1 species
UGCUCACACAAGUUGAUGGUCGAAACGUAGCUACACGAUGUUGCUCACACAAGCUGACUUCUUCAAUGACGACUAAUAUGACUUUUCUGUGGAUCUCUUUCUCAAAUCUCGAGCUUCAUAAUCAGCUGUUCUCUUUUCUUUUCUUAGUCUUCGGAUUUGUGCGCUUGAUCAACUAGAGCAACAAAUUCUUUCAGUUCAAGUAUCUCGACUAACAACUUUAUGUCUUCAUUUAAACCGUCUUCAAAUCGCUUACACAUAGC